CGAUUACGGCUCAGUAACACGUAGCUAACCUACCCUUAGGACGUGGACAACCCCGAGAAAUUGGGGCUAAUCCGCGAUAGAUGUAUUGUCCUGGAAUGGUAUUACGUCUAAAGGUAUCCCAUACAUGUUUGGUAUACGCCUAAGGAUGGGGCUGCGGCCGAUCAGGCUGUUGGUGAGGUAAUGGCUCACCAAACCUUUGACCGGUACGGGCCAUGAGAGUGGUAGCCCGGAGAUGGACACUGAGACAAGGGUCCAGGCCCUAAGGGGCGCAGCAGGCGCGAAACCUCCUCAAUGCACUUACGUGCGAAGGGGCUACCUCGAGUGCCAUCUGAUGAAGGUGGCUUUUCCUAGGUCUAAAAAGCCUUGGGAAUAAGAGGGGGGCAAGACUGGUGUCAGCCGCCGCGGUAACACCAGCCCCUCGAGUGGUGGGGAUGAUUAUUGGGCCUAAAGCGUCCGUAGCC
rnacentral:rRNA from 1 species